UACAGAGGGGGCAAGCGUUGUUCGGAAUUACUGGGCGUAAAGGGCGCGUAGGCGGCCUGUUAAGUCGGACGUGAAAUCCCUCGGCUCAACCGGGGAACUGCGUCUGAUACUGGCGGGCUUGAAUUCGGGAGAGGGAUGUGGAAUUCCAGGUGUAGCGGUGAAAUGCGUAGAUAUCAGGAGGAACACCAAUGGCGAAGGCAGAUCUCUGGGCCGUAACUGACGCUGAGGAGCGAAAGCAUGGGGAGCGAACAGG
rnacentral:rRNA from 1 species